UACGUAGGGUCCAAGCGUUAUCCGGAAUCACUGGGCGUAAAGCGUGCGUAGGUGGAUGUUUAAGUGUGAUGUUAAAUCGUGUGGCUCAACCAUAUCGAUGCAUCGCAUACUGGACGUCUAGAGGACAGCAGAGGCAAGUGGAAUUUGUAGUGUAGCAGUGAAAUGCGUAGAUAUUACAAGGAACACCAAUGGCGAAGGCAGCUUGCUGGGCUACUCCUGACACUGAGGUACGAAAGCUAGGGGAGCAAACGGG
rnacentral:rRNA from 1 species